rnacentral:rRNA from 1 species
GACGAACGCUGGCGGCGUGCUUAACACAUGCAAGUCGAACGAAGAGCGACGGAAGCUUGCUUCUAUCAAUCUUAGUGGCGAACGGGUGAGUAACGCGUAAUCAACCUGCCCUUCAGAGGGGGACAACAGUUGGAAACGACUGCUAAUACCGCAUACGAUCUAACCUCGGCAUCGAGGAUAGAUGAAAGGUGGCCUCUACAUGUAAGCUAUCACUGAAGGAGGGGAUUGCGUCUGAUUAGCUAGUUGGAGGGGUAACGGCCCACCAAGGCGAUGAUCAGUAGCCGGUCUGAGGGGAUGAACGGCCACAUUGGGACUGAGACACGGCCCAGACUCCUACGGGAGGCAGCAGUGGGGAAUCUUCCGCAAUGGACGAAAGUCUGACGGAGCAACGCCGCGUGAGUGAUGACGGCCUUCGGGUUGUAAAGCUCUGUUAAUCGGGACGAAAGGCCUUCUUGCGAAUAGUGAGAAGGAUUGACGGUACCGGAAUAGAAAGCCACGGCUAACUACGUG